rnacentral:tRNA from 1 species
GGGAAUAUAACUCAGUUGGUAGAGUGCUUGCCUCAUAUGCAGGAGGCCCUGAGUUCAAUCCCCAGCACCACCA